rnacentral:rRNA from 1 species
GAUCCUGGCUCAGGAUGAACGCUAGCUACAGGCUUAACACAUGCAAGUCGAGGGGCAGCAUCAUCAAAGCUUGCUUUGAUGGAUGGCGACCGGCGCACGGGUGAGUAACACGUAUCCAACCUGCCGACAACUCUGGGAUAGCCUUUCGAAAGAAAGAUUAAUACCGGAUGGCAUAGUUUUCCCGCAUGGGAUGACUAUUAAAGAAUUUCGGUUGUCGAUGGGGAUGCGUUCCAUUAGG